UUAUUGAAAUAAACCUGAUGGGGUUGUUGCUGGUUCUCUAGGGAGCAUGGUGCACGCCUUGUCAUCUUUAUAUCUCCACCUGUGCACCUUUUGUAGACCUUCAAGGUCUAUGUUGCUUCAUUUACCCCAAUGUAUGUUAAUAGAAUGUUGUGCCUAUAUAAUAUAUACAACUUUCAGCAACGGAUCUCUUGGCUCUCGCAUCGAUGAAGAACGCAGCGAAAUGCGAUAAGUAAUGUGAAUUGCAGAAUUCAGUGAAUCAUCGAAUCUUUGAACGCACCUUGCGCUCCUUGGUAUUCCGAGGAGCAUGCCUGUUUGAGUGUCAUUAAUAUAUCAAUCUACUCUUGUUGAGUGGUUUGGAUGUGGGGGUUUGCUGGCCUUUUUGAAAAGGGUUCAGCUCCUCUGAAAUGCAUUAGCAGAACGACCUUUGUUCAUUGGUGUGAUAACUAUCUACGCUAUUGAAUGUGAGGGGCAGUUCAGCUUUCUAACAGUCCUUGGACAAAAUUCAUAAUUAAUGUGACCUCAAAUCAGGUAGGACUACCCGCUGAACUUAAGCAAUAUC
rnacentral:rRNA from 1 species